AACGAACGCUGGCGGCAGGCUUAACACAUGCAAGUCGAACGCCCCGCAAGGGGAGUGGCAGACGGGUGAGUAACACGUGGGAACAUGCCCAAAGGUACGGAAUAUUCUCGGGAAACUGGGAGCAAUACCGUAUGUGCCCGAAAGGGGAAAGAUUUAUCGCCUUUGGAUUGGCCCGCGCUGGAUUAGCUAGUUGGUGGGGUAAAAGCCUACCAAGGCGACGAUCCAUAGCUGGUCUGAGAGGACGACCAGCCACACUGGGACUGAGACACGGCCCAGACUCCUACGGGAGGCAGCAGUGGGGAAUCUUGGACAAUGGGCGCAAGCCUGAUCCAGCCAUGCCGCGUGAGUGAUGAAGGCCCUAGGGUUGUAAAACUCUUUCGUGGGGGACGAUAAUGACGGUACCCCAAGAAGAAGCUCCGGCUAACUUCGUGCCAGCCGCCGCGGUAAUAC
rnacentral:rRNA from 1 species